rnacentral:tRNA from 1 species
UCAAAUUAGAACUUGGAUAGAUAAGUAUUUCAUUUACAUUGAAGAAGAAUUGUGCAAAUCAAUAUAAUUUGA